UCACAAUUUAUUUGAAUUAGAUCUACAUAAAAAAAAAGCCCCAAAUGUUCAUAAAAAAUUUGGUAUAAGAUUAAGUAGUUUUGAUGUGAUGGAAAUAUGAAUAUAUGCAUUUGGAAUAAGCUCCUAAAUAAUAGAGGUAUAUAUGUCAGUAAACAAUUGGUGUAUAGAGAAAGGGCAUCAUUCAAUGGGGCUUCAAUUUUGAGUUUUAUUCGAUCCCUCCAUGCUUGGAAAAUUGUCUUUAUUUUGAUGCUUUCUUCUAUAUUAUUUAUUCCUCAUCCCAACUAUGCCCUAUAAAUCAAGCCCAUAUGCUAUUUCAAGUUCAUUGAAUUGUAUUGAAGUCUACCUAACACAAGUUCUAAACACUCAAGUAAAGGACUUUUACUUGCAAAACAGAGAUCUAAGAUGGCUUCUUUGAAGGCUGAGAAACCCCUUGCCUCUGCCACAGUCAAAAAAGAGCCUUCCAAAGCUCCUACUCCCAAGAAGGUCGAGCCGAAGUCUCUAGAGCCCAAAAAGAAGGCACCGAGUACUAGGUCAGCAGCCGCAAAGAAGAAAUGAGAGAAUUGAUUAAUUUGAUGUAAAAGUGGUUUUUAUCUGAGCCAUGAUACUUGUUAUGUGGCCUAUCUAUCCAAUAUGUAAACAACCCUUCUAGGGUUAGUGCAUUUCAAUAAAAGUAUGUAUCCAAACUUGACAUCUAA